AUACAGAGGGUGCGAGCGUUAAUCGGAAUUACUGGGCGUAAAGCGCGCGUAGGCGGCUUAUUAAGUCAGAUGAGAAAUCCCCGGGCUCAACCUGGGAACUGCAUCUGAUACUGGUAAGCUAGAGUUUUGGAGAGGGAAGUAGAAUUUCAGGUGUAGCGGUGAAAUGCAUAGAGAUCUGAAGGAAUACCAGUGGCGAAGGCGACUUCCUGGCCAAAAACUGACGCUGAGGUGCGAAAGCGUGGGUAGCAAACGGGAUUAGAUACCCUAGUAGUCC
rnacentral:rRNA from 1 species